CCUGCUGGAUGACGUUCAGCUGGUGAACACCCUGCAGACCUCCAAAGUCACGGCCACGGAGGUCGCAGAACAACUGGAGAUCAGCGAACUGACCGAGAGCCAAAUCGAUACCGCCAGAGAGGCCUACCGCCCCUGCGCCCAGAGGGCGUCCAUCCUGUUCUUUGUACUGAAUGAUCUGGGCUAUAUAGAUCCCAUGUAUCAGUUCUCUCUGGACGCCUACAUCAACCUGUUCACCCUGAGUAUAGAGAGCAGCCCCCGCAGCCACAAACUAGAGGAGAGGAUAAACAACCUCAACAGAUACCACACUUAUGCUGUCUACAGAUAUACCUGUCGAGGACUGUUUGAGUGUCACAAGCUCCUUUUCAGUUUCCACAUAUGCGCCAAGAUCCUGGAG